rnacentral:rRNA from 1 species
AGCGGGUGAAAAGCCCGCUCGCCGGAAGACCAAGGGUUCCUGUCCAACGUUAAUCGGGGCAGGGUGAGUCGACCCCUAAGGCGAGGCCGAAAGGCGUAGUCGAUGGGAAACGGGUUAAUAUUCCCGUACUUGGUGUUACUGCGAAGGGGGGACGGAGAAGGCUAUGUUGGCCGGGCGACGGUUGUCCCGGUUUAAGCGUGUAGGUGUGUGUUCCAGGUAAAUCCGGUUCACUUUAACACUGAGGCGUGACGACGAGGCACUACGGUGCUGAAGCAACAAAUGCCCUGCUUCCAGGAAAAGCCUCUAAGCAUCAGGUAACAUCAAAUCGUACCCCAAACCGACACAGGUGGUCAGGUAGAGAAUACCAAGGCGCUUGAGAGAACUCGGGUGAAGGAACUAGGCAAAAUGGUGCCGUAACUUCGGGAGAAGGCACGCUGACACGUAGGUGAAGUGAUUUACUCACGGAGCUGAAGUCAGUCGAAGAUACCAGCUGGCUGCAACUGUUUAUUAAAAACACAGCACUGUGCAAACACGAAAGUGGACGUAUACGGUGUGACGCCUGCCCGGUGCCGGAAGGUUAAUUGAUGGGGUCAGCGCAAGCGAAGCUCCUGAUCGAAGCCCCGGUAAACGGCGGCCGUAACUAUAACGGUCCUAAGGUAGCGAAAUUCCUUGUCGGGUAAGUUCCGACCUGCACGAAUGGCGUAAUGAUGGCCAGGCUGUCUCCACCCGAGACUCAGUGAAAUUGAACUCGCUGUGAAGAUGCAGUGUACCCGCGGCAAGACGGAAAGACCCCGUGAACCUUUACUAUAGCUUGACACUGAACAUUGAGCCUUGAUGUGUAGGAUAGGUGGGAGGCUUUGAAGYGUGGACGCCAGUCUGCRUGGAGCCGACCUUGAAAUACCACCCUUUAAUGUUUGAUGUUCUAACGUGGACCCGURAUCCGGGUUGCGGACAGUGUCUGGUGGGUAGUUUGACUGGGGCGGUCUCCUCCUAAAGAGUAACGGAGGAGCACGAAGGUUGGCUAAUCCUGGUCGGACAUCAGGAGGUUAGUGCAAUGGCAUAAGCCAGCUUGACUGCGAGCGUGACGGCGCGAGCAGGUGCGAAAGCAGGUCAUAGUGAUCCGGUGGUUCUGAAUGGAAGGGCCAUCGCUCAACGGAUAAAAGGUACUCCGGGGAUAACAGGCUGAUACCGCCCAAGAGUUCAUAUCGACGGCGGUGUUUGGCACCUCGAUGUCGGCUCAUCACAUCCUGGGGCUGAAGUAGGUCCCAAGGGUAUGGCUGUUCGCCAUUUAAAGUGGUACGCGAGCUGGGUUUAGAACGUCGUGAGACAGUUCGGUCCCUAUCUGCCGUGGGCGCUGGAGAACUGAGGGGGGCUGCUCCUAGUACGAGAGGACCGGAGUGGACGCAUCACUGGUGUUCGGGUUGUCAUGCCAAUGGCACUGCCCGGUAGCUAAAUGCGGAAGAGAUAAGUGCUGAAAGCAUCUAAGCACGAAACUUGCCCCGAGAUGAGUUCUCCCUGAGACUUAGAGUCUCCUGAAGGAACGUUGAAGACGACGACGUUGAUAGGCCGGGUGUGUAAGCGCAGCGAUGCGUUGAGCUAACCGGUACUAAUGAACCGUGAGGCUUAACCUUACAACGCCGAAG